rnacentral:rRNA from 1 species
UGCAUUACGAGCCGCUGACUGGACUUGUUCGGAGUUACCAGCGGAGGUGAGCGUACGUGGUCACCUGCUGUAGAUGGGAAACUCCGGGAUACCGGACUAAUACCGGAUAGUUCCUUGAACCGCAUGGUUCAAGGAUGAAAGACGGUUUCGGCUGUCACUUACAGAUGGACCCGCGGCGCAUUAGCUAGUUGGUGGGGUAAUGGCUCACCAAGGCGACGAUGCGUAGCCGACUGAGAGGUGACCGACUCUCCUGGGACUGAGACACGAUCCAACUCUCUACGGGAGGCAGCAGUAGGGAAUCUUCCGCAAUGAACGAAAGUCUGACGGAGCAACGCCGCGUGAGUGAUGAAGUUUUCGGAUCGUAAAGCUCUGUUGUUAGGAAAAACAAGUGCGAGAGUAACUGCUCGCACCUUGACGGUACCUAACCAGAAAGCCACGGCUAACUACGUGCCAGCAGCCGCGGUAAUACGUAGGUGGCAAGCGUUGUCCGGAAUUAUUGGGCGUAAAGGGCUCGCAGCGGUUUCUUAAGUCUGAUGUGAAAGCCCCCGCUCACCCGGGGAGGGUCAUUGGAAACUGGGAAACUUGAGUGCAGAAGAGGAGAGUGGAAUUCCACGUGUAGCGGUGAAUGCGUAGAGAUGUGGAGAACACAGUGGCGAAGCGACUCUCUGGUCUGUAACUGACGCUGAGGAGCGAAGCGUGGGGAGCGACAGGAUUAGAUACCUGUAGUCCACGCCGUAACGAUGAGUGCUA